GGCUGCAGUUUGGGACUUUUGCCGAUUCCCGGCGAUUUCGGCCACCUCCGGUCCCCAUUUCUUCGUCGAAGUUAUGAAGACGUGAGGAGGAUUCCCUCGAGGAGGGUUUGGAUCGACGGCAGGCUUAGCCGUACAUUUUUGCAGGCGAAUUAGUGGAGGUCGGGCGUACAUGACAUUUGAGGCAUAGUUGUCACUACUUCUGUAAUGUAGGAUCACUUGAUCCUUUACUCCUCUGUUAUAUCCCUGUGUAUAGUAGUAUUGCUCUGCAUAACCUUGG
rnacentral:lncRNA from 1 species